AGGAGAGAGAGAGAGAGAGAGAGAGAAAGAAAGAUAGAUAUUUGUAAAAUCACUGUGGUUAAAGAUUAUUUCUGUUUACAGACCACUGGACAAAAUUGGUCACAUGGCUCUAACCAAACUGCAAAGGAGGCUGGAAAAGUAUAGAGGAGCUCAUGGUUUGGGAUACAGAAGUUUCAGUCUUGAAUCUUCAUCCCAAGAGAAGAACCAGAGAGCUUUUAGUGGAAGAGGAGCCAUUUAGUGCAUCUGAAGGAAGUCUCAGGGCCGCUUCUCUGUUUGCCCGGAGUCACUUUAAUGAUGCAAGGGAGCACAUAAUGCACUUUACCCUGACAUUUCAUUACUUUAGGCACUAACCCAUUGUCAGAUCCACCAUCAAUAUCUUAUUAAAUUUGUCAUUAUGUCCUUGACAUUAUUUUAAUAGCACUGGCAACUGCGUGAUAGAAAUAAAUAAAUCAAGAGCCUAAAUUUCUAUUAUGUG
rnacentral:lncRNA from 12 species